UGAGUUUGAUCCUGGCUCAGGAUGAACGCUGGCGGCGUGCCUAACACAUGCAAGUCGAGCGGAGUUGCAUGGUUUUAGUCCUUCGGGACGAAGAACUGUGUAUACUUAGCGGCGGACGGGUGAGUAACGCGUGGGCAAUCUGCCUUUUGGUGGGGAAUAGCCGUGAGAAAUCACGAUUAAUACCGCAUGAUACAAUAGAUCGCAUGGUCUGCUGUUGAAAGAUUUAUCGCCAAAAGAUGAGCCCGCGUCUGAUUAGCUAGUUGGUAGGGUAACGGCCUACCAAGGCGACGAUCAGUAGCCGGCCUGAGAGGGUGAACGGCCACACUGGGACUGAGACACGGCCCAGACUCCUACGGGAGGCAGCAGUGAGGAAUCUUGCACAAUGGGGGCAACCCUGAUGCAGCAACGCCGCGUGAAGGAUGAAGGGUUUCGGCUCGUAAACUUCUU
rnacentral:rRNA from 1 species